ensembl:lncRNA
AAAAAUUCUGAUCUCAAGAGGGCGUUGUAUGAUCUUGUAAAUUGUCCAUUAAGGGGCAAGAGAUAUGUAAUGUUUUCUAAACAUAUAAAAAGGACAAUAAACUAAUAAUUAUGGUUGUUAAAUAUUAAAUAAAAUUAUUUCGAAUUCAAAAAUAUGUAAAUAAUGUACAAUUCAUGAUAACACAAUACAAUUUAAAUGUUUGCGUGUGCUUCGUGAACAGUGUUUUCAGAUCUGUUUAUUAUUACAUUAUAUAUAUAUUAUGUAUGUAUGUAUGUAUGUAUACAGAUGAUUUAACCCUGGUGGCCUUUUUUCCAUUAUCAUUACUAAUGUCUACACAACAUAUAUUUAUUAUAAAAAAAAAAAAAAAAAAUUCACUGUCUUUUCACUGUGCGUCCGCUACUGACUUUUAUUUUGACAUGUUUCCUCAGCCGGUGACAUUUACAGUGUGCCUUAAACGUUCUCCCUUCACAGUUAUUAAUUAUGCAUUUAUUCCUGUUUUUAUACAGUCUAUGAUUAAUUCAAAUGUUAGAUAGUAGUACACAGCAAACCUAAAAUGAGAUCUUAAUGGAGUUCACGUUAAACGAAUAAAUCAUUUAAAAGAGUCGGGUCGUUGUGAAGUUAUUUGGCAAUGCCAGUAGAAGGUAACAAGGACCAGGCCCUGGCUCCCCUGUCCAGCCCCGUCAGCGCUCUUACUUCUGGAGUCCAAGAAGACAGUGGCCUUUCCAUCCCAGGAAGCAGUUAGCAAGAGCCAGUGGCUACAUGUCCAGAGAAUGUAGAAUUCUGUACAGAAUCCUAGAAAAUCCCAGGCCCUUCUCCAGAUCAACUGUAAGGCUAUCCAGUCAGUGGAUCGAAACUCUCAGGCUGCUGAGCUGCAGGGAUUGGGAGUGGAUGUGUAAGACCAGGAUGUUCUCAAGCAAAGUGUGUUGCAGCAGGUGGACAGGGCCAGUCAGGAGGCAAACCAGGGAGCAGCCAAAGCUGAGCCAGAAGAGUCUGUACUGGAUGACGUCAGGACAAGCAGUUAAAAAAUAUCCGAGCCAAGUAGAAGAGAUUGACGGAGAGAAUAUCCAGAAGCUUGAGGCAGAAUUAUUGAUUGAGGAUGACGAAGGUAAGUUUGAAGCACCGUUUCUUUCAGAAGCUUUAGGUGCAUUAUUACCCUUAACAUUUAAAUGCAAGAGAAGAAAGAGCCUCGAAAGGUUAUGCUCAGCGAGAACUCCGGAUUCAACAAGUACCUUGCCGACAAAGCCAUGUUAG